CAGGCUGGGAUGUAGCACAGUGGCAAAAGUACUUGCCUAUUAAGUGCUAAGUCCUGGGUUCAAUCCCCAGUACCAAAAAAGAAAAGAAAAAAAAAAAACAGCCAGGCCCUGGAGGCUCCCACCUGUAAUCCUAGCUACU